rnacentral:lncRNA from 1 species
AAUUUCUAGGCAUGCUAGUCAUUUUAAAUUGGUUCUGAAUAGAAGAAGAGUUGUAGAAAAGAAUCUAUAUGUGGAAAGACAGAUGAUUUUUGAAACUUAAUUAUUUAAAAUGAACAAAAUAGAAUCCCAACCAAUGCACAUUUGCAAAACUCCUACACUGUACAUUUAUAAUGAGUUAUUACUUUAUUUAGUAUAUGCCUGGAUUUUCUUUCUUAUUUUUCAUGAUACUCUGAAACUACGAUUUUUUUGGUUUUCUUAGAAUAGGUUAAAGGCAGUGUGGGGUCUCUAAGUAAAUUCCCAUUUCAUAUUGUUAUUAUCUUAAUGGAUAUGGGGUUUUUAGAUGAAGGAAAACAAAUAGAA